CAGCUCUCCGAGUGGUAGGGAUGAUUAUUGGGCUUAAAGCGUCCGUAGCGGGACGUGCACCUCCCUUGUGAAAUCACCGAGCUUAACUCGGUGGCGUGCAGGGGACACGACACGUCUUGGGAGUGGGAGGAGUCAGAGGUAUUCGAGGGGGACCGGUAAAAUGGUAUAAUCCCUUGAGGACCACCGAUGGCGAAGGCAUCUGACCAGAACACGUCCGACCGUGAGGGACGAAAGCCAGGGGAGCGAACCGGAUUAGAUACCCGAGUAGUCC
rnacentral:rRNA from 1 species